UAAGUUAAUAUUAUUUUAAUCAAAUAAAUGUUUUUUAAAGAAAAAAUAAAUGGCAAUAAAAGUACUUCUCUCUCUAUAGUAAAAAGUAAUAAAAUAAAAAUUGAAAAGAGAGAAAUCAACUUUAUAAAUUGAAGAGAGAUAAUUAUUUUUUAUUUAAAAAAUCUUAAUUAAAAUGUCUUUUGAAAUUUUAAAUCUUGACGUGACUCUUAAAAUAAGUAAUAAAAUCUUAUUUGUCCUUCAAUAAUGUCAUAACUUUAAGCCAGCUUAAUUUGGUGGCUUUUGUAUUGAUUAUAGGGUUACAUUCAUUAACUAUUAACUGAACAAUUACUACCCACUAAGAAUAAUUAUUUCCAUAAUACCCAUUUUUUUUCUUCAAUCCCAAUUUGUUGAAAUCUCGUACCAAAAGGAUGAGUAACGCUAUUCAUCCAAUUCCCAUGUGGUGUCAUUUUCACCCGUUGCCUAGAUUGUAUUUAGCGUAUAUUGUUGAUUUGUAGUGUCAAUUAUAACUGACUUUGACCUAUUAUUAAAGUGUUUAGAAUCUAACGGCUGGACCUCAUAGAAGCAAAUUAGGGAGAAUGUUGCUCCAGGGCCAACAUAGUUGGAUCCCGGCAGAACCUGAAAUAGUGUCACUGUAAUGUCAAUGUUAAAAAUGAUUAUUAUAAAAACAAAUAUUUAACAUCAAAUAAUUGUAGGGGCACAAAAACAAUCGAACAAUUAAAGAAAGAAACCAAUGAAAAUAGCAACAAUCUUAUUCGUUGGCAAGCCGGUAAAUAAAAAUUCAGUCUCAAAUUGGAGUUCCAUGUACUAUAAAGUGGAAUACGAAUCAUUACAUGUGAAAAUAUUAAUAAUUAAAAUGCUGGGUAAUUCAUAUCAAAUUGGAAGUUUCCAUAUGGUAUUGUCGUUUAAUGCCUUCUAAACCACAAUUAGUAUGGAACGAAAAUGCUAGUUGACAAUGGAUUCGAGUAUAAGUUUGACUGAUAUUGAUUUGUAAACUUAAUUUUCAAAUUAAUAAUUUGGAAGAAAUAAUUUGUUUUAGUGUGGAAUCCAAAUUUUAAGUAUAUUCAUCAAACACUUUGAUAUUUUGAUUUUAAUAGUAUUGUCGCAGACAAUAAAAUAAAGUAAAUAAAGUGUAGGGUCCAAAACGAUACCAUCCGUAAUUCAUGGAGUUAACAUUACAUUGCCCAUGACUAUCUACGGUUGAAAAUAAAACAAAGCAAUAAAAAUACUUUGAUAUUUUGAUUGUAAUAGUAUCGUUGCGGACAAUAAAAUAAAGUGUAGGGUCCAAAGCAAUACCAUCUGUAAUUACUAGAGUUAACAUUGCAUUGCCCAUGACUAUCUAUGGUUGUUAAUAAAUUUAACUAGUUUAAUUAGUAAAAUCUCUUGAUGUUAUGUAAAAAAUUUAAAGUUUAAAACUUUACUCAUUUAGGUAGAAAGAAAAUUGAAUUACCACUAAAUCAUUAAUUAAAAAAUAAAAUCGAAAAUUAAAUUACCAUUAAACUAUUAAUUAAAAAAAUUAAAUAUGACAAAUUGAAUUACCAUUAAAUCAUUAAUUAAAAUUUUUAAAUACGGCUUGAAGAAAAUCUAUGCAUUGUUAUAUAAGCAAUUGUUGUCUUCGCAUAUUUUUAUUCGCCUACUUUACGGCUUAAAAAAAAAAAUUGUAAAAUUUCAGUCAACCAAAAUACACAUUACAAUAGAGCCACAAUUUUAGAAAAUACAUUGAAUAUCAUCAAUUUGUAAGAGAUUUUUUGCAAUUACUAAAGUUGUACAUAUAUAUGCAUAGUUCAAAUUUCAAGCCAGAAGUGUCAACGCCACAUAUUUUAAUAUUUAUUUAUUUUUGUAAUUUGACAGUCUACAACCAAUGAUCCUCUUAAAAAAAUAAAACUGAGAGCGAAUAUUCACGAUUUUUACCCUUUUCACCACAUUAUUUACAUAAAUGUUAACCUGAAAAUAAUCAUGGAGAAGACAUAGAAAGUGAAAAGAAAAUUGCUUUUUCAUGUAUCAUGUUUAUAUUCUCAGGAAUUGUAAUUGAGGUGUCUAUGAUUGUAUAACCCGAAAAUCCUACAAGCAUGGAAAUUUCAACCAAUAAGCACGAUCGUUUCAAAACAUGCCUAAAAACGUAUAAUUUUUAUUUUCUUCUUUUAAUUUUCUCAGUUCUCGCCUUCAAAUUUUGUUGGAAACUUGGAAUCUUAUCUCAAUUUACUGCUGCGAACAGUAUUGAAAUUGUUGCACUGAUUUCGAUCCAUACAUAUCAUUGGAGACAUGAAUAACGCUGCACGGUGAUUUGCUUUUCCCAAUUUCAUUAACAAGCUCGAUAACUUGCUACGUAACCACCAAUUGCUCCCUUUCACUAUGAAAUAUUUGUUUAGUGCUAUCAACCUGCUCUUUACUGAAUCACUCGGCUAGAGCCCGAAAAUGAUUCGAACCCCAAAAAUACAUUGCACGAGUUUAAUUUAAUUUUUUUUUUUUAAUUUGAGUGAAGGCAGAAAAAAAAAAAAUCUGCUGUUUACUGGCUUUGUUCGUACACAGCGCGCAUGCAAGCAUACGUGUCCAAUCUAGGGCCUUCAGAUCUUGUUAGCUCAGGCCCAACAAUAAUUGUACUCGAAGACAAAAAUCAGGCUACGUUAUACAACACUGGGCCUGAAAUAAGUUCAUCGUAGACUUGGCCUGAAAUAAGUAACUGCCCUAAACUAGAGAGUAACAAAUAAGCUUAUGGUUCAAAAAAUAAAUUUUAAAAAAUGAAAAUUAGAUAUGCGUUUUCUAAUCUAAACGCGAUAAACAUAAGUUUAUUAUAUUAUAAGAUUUUCCCCUGCAACCAGUAGGCAGAGAUUGGGCCCGAAGCGGUGAUUUUUUUUUUAGGUAAUUUUUAAAAAAUUUUCCUGAGGUUUGGGUUUGUUGUAAUUAGAUGGCGAGAAUUUAUUUAUUUGUAAAAAAUUCCCUACCAUCAGUUAAUUUUAACAUUGACCAUUAGUUGACUGUGCAAAGAUAAUAUUACCCUUAACAACAGUUUGUAGACUGAAAUAACUAAAAAAAAUUAAAAUUAUUGGCGUAAAAAGCACAAACCCUAUUUUUUGACAAUUUUAUCUUUGUCAAUUCUAAAGAUUUACAAUAUCAUAGGUAAAGAUUAUAACUAUUUCAUUUUCAAGUUUUUAAUUUUAUCUUUUUUAUAGGAACUUUAAGAAAAUAUUAAUAAUUUAAAGAGAAUUUUUUAAUUUUUUAAUUUUAUCUUUCUUGUAGGAACUUU
rnacentral:lncRNA from 1 species